GCUUGUCUCAAAGAUUAAGCCAUGCAUGUCUAAGUAUAAACAAAUCUAUACUGUGAAACUGCGAAUGGCUCAUUAUAUCAGUUAUAGUUUCUUUGAUGGUUCUUACUACUUGGAUAACCGUAGUAAUUCUAGAGCUAAUACAUGCAUGAACCCCCGACUUUUGAAGGGGUGUAUUUAUUAGAUAAAAAUCAACUUUGUUGGUGAAUCAUAAUAACUUCUCGGACCGCAUGGCCUCGUGCUGGCGGUGCUUCAUUCAAAUAUCUGCCCUAUCAACUGUCGAUGGUAGGAUAGAGGCCUACCAUGGUUGCAACGGGUAACGGGGAAUAAGGGUUCGAUUCCGGAGAGGGAGCCUGAGAAACGGCUACCACAUCCAAGGAAGGCAGCAGG
rnacentral:rRNA from 1 species